rnacentral:tRNA from 1 species
AGUCCUGUAGCUCAUUGGUGAGAGCGCUCGCCUCGUAAGCGAGAGACCUGGGUUCGAUUCCUGGCAGGGCGA